AUACGGAGGAUCCGAGCGUUAUCCGGAUUUAUUGGGUUUAAAGGGUGCGCAGGCGGGAGAUUAAGUCGGCGGUGAAAUUUUGCAGCUCAACUGGAAAAGUGCCUUCGAAACUGGUUUCCUUGAGUGUGGAUGAAGUAGGCGGAAUUUGUGGUGUAGCGGUGAAAUGCAUAGAUAUCACGAGGAACUCCGAUUUCGCAGGCAGCUUACUAAACUACGACUGACGCUCAGGCACGAAGGCGUGGGGAUCAAACAGGAUUAGAUACCCUGGUAGUCCACGCAGUAAACGAUGAUUACUAGCUGUUUGCGAUACAAUGUAAGCGGCUGAGCGAAAGCGUUAAGUAAUCCACCUGGGGAGUACGUUCGCAAGAAUGAAACUCAAAUGAAUUGACGGGG
rnacentral:rRNA from 1 species